rnacentral:tRNA from 1 species
GGGUGCGAGGCUACUGUCGGCUGUGUGGCGACGGACUGUAAAUCCGUUCUCUUACGAGUAACGUCGGAGGUUCGACUCCUUCCGCGCCCACCA